GGUGACGUGACUCUCCGUGCGCCAGUAUCUCCUUUUCCGGAAGUUGUGGCUAUAUCCAACGCUGCAGUUGCAAGGGCUUGGUAAAUCUAGCAGCUUGCGGUUGCUUCCGCUUUUAAGGUUUUCCAACUUUUACCGCGUGUAAUCUGCCAGGUAUGUCUCGUCUCCUUUUACCAACGUUUGGGUAGUAGGGGCAUACCUAAUACUGUGUUUGUAUUUGUAGUGGAUCGCGACUUGGAGUGUCCCGGACCGACGUGAGCCAGACCAUCAACGGGAUACUAAGUCACUACAAUUGCUGCUGUUUUGCCCGGAUGUUUUAUGUUUUGUUUCAUGUUUUAAUUGGUUUUAAGUAUUAAUGUGUUUUAUUGAUUGGAUGUAAAUUGGGGGGGGCGUCGUUGGGAAGGCUUGGUGCUGGGCGGUGAGGAUCCGUGUCGGGCGAUACCGCGCUGCGUGGUCGCGUUGCUUUCUUUUAGCCCACCCCUUGGGUGGAUGUACGUGCGUCAUGUACUGCGGGACCCCUUAGAGUGUUGUCUGACUGUACGCCUCCCAUUCCCCUCCCGAUAACAGCUGCCUGGUUUGGGUUUCCUCUUUUGUCGUGUGAUUGGAGUGUUUUAAACAUGAUUUGAUUUGUAUUAUUUGUGCUGUGAUUUUGGUUCAGUAAUUUGCUGUUUGGUUUCUUUUUGUUUUCAUUUGGAGUGUGAAUUAACAGCAGCCUAAUAAAGGGAGUGUUUAUGGUC